UACAGAGGUCUCAAGCGUUUGUUCGGAUUCAUUGGGCGUAAAGGGUGCGUAGGUGGCGCUGUAAGUCGGGUGUGAAAUUUCGGAGCUUAACUCCGAAACUGCAUUCGAUACUGCGGUGCUUGAGGACUGGAGAGGAGACUGGAAUUCAUGGUGUAGCAGUGAAAUGCGUAGAGAUCAUGAGGAAGACCAGUGGCGAAGGCGGGUCUCUGGACAGUUCCUGACACUGAGCACGAAGGCCAGGGGAGCAAACGGG
rnacentral:rRNA from 1 species